UACGUAGGCGGAAAAUUAAGUCAGUGAUGAAAUCCUGCGGCUUAACUGUAGAACUGUCAUUGAUACUGGUUUUCUUGAAUACAGUUGAGGUAGGCGGAAUGUGUAAUGUAGCGGUGAAAUGCUUAGAUAUUACACAGAACACCGAUUGCGAAGGCAGCUUACUAAACUGUUAUUGACGCUGAGGUACGAAAGCGUGGGGAGCGAACAGGAUUAGAUACCCUGGUAGUCC
rnacentral:rRNA from 1 species